rnacentral:rRNA from 1 species
AGGACGCUUCCUUCGGGAAGCGAGCGUACACAGGUGCUGCAUGGCUGUCGUCAGCUCGUGUCGUGAGGUGUCGGGUUAAGUCCCAUAACGAGCGCAACCCCUACUGCUAGUUGCCAGCGGGUCAUGCCGGGGACUCUAGCGGAACUGCCAGCGUAAGCUGCGAGGAAGGUGGGGAUGACGUCAAAUCAGCACGGCCCUUACGUCCAGGGCUACACACGUGUUACAAUGGCCAGUACAGAGGGCAGCCACCCCGCGAGGGGGCGCUAAUCCUAAAAGCUGGUCCCAGUUCGGAUCGGAGUCUGCAACCCGACUCCGUGAAGCUGGAUUCGCUAGUAAUCGCGCAUCAGCCACGGCGCGGUGAAUACGUUCCCGGGCCUU